GCCGAGGGCGGAGCCCCUGGGGGGCGGGGGGGGGGGGGGGGGGGGGACACGCUCCUCCGGAGGGGAGUCCGCAGGGGAACGAGCCCCUCACCCUCUGUGUCACAUGGGGCGGCACCUGCAGGAUCUGCCGGUGACCUGAGAGGGUAGGACCCGAGGGCCCGGCGAGACGGUGACGCGCGGUGGCCCCCCGGAGGUGGUCUGUGCUGUCCUCAGCAUCUUUAAGGCCAAAUUUCAUCCCCCUGAAGCUGUUUUAUGAAGGGUCCUGGCACAGGGCCCCGGUGCCCCAGGUUUUGGUGAUUGACUUUUUUACCGUUUGAUGAUUUUAGCACAUUAUUCGUAAAACCCAAGUGAUUUAGAGGUAAGUUUGCCUCUGAAGACGUCAGCGGACAGAACGGACUGUGCCGUUCUCGUCGAGAUCCUUUGUGACUGUCGGUCUGUCCCACGAACUCAGAUGUGUCUGUGCUCUCGUGUCCGUGAGGUUCUAGUCUUUCCCACUCUGCCUAGCGUGUGCUCUGUGUUUACUAACCACAGUCGGCCACCGGCCUGUACCUGUUCGGGCGCCGCAGGCUGGGGGCAGUGGGAUCUCACGGCCACGGCCUCGAGGCCGGUGGAGCUGGGCCCUCCCUGGGCGGCCAUCAGAGCUUUCUUUCUGUUUGACACUUUUUUAACCCCCAGAAGCCUGUGUGUUUCGUACGUGGUCGUGUGCUUGGGUUCCUGAGGACCCCGUAUUGUUUCCUUUCAUUUAAAAAAUCGGGCAGUGGGGCGCCUGGAAUCCGAAGGGAAACACUUAGCACCGUUAACUAAACUGCCUUUUGGUUCACGUCAGAUGCUUUUUCCUGCCCCGAGUGAGUUUCCUCACGCGGUGUGAACCGGCACCAGGUGGCAGGACGCGACCACUGCCAGAAGCUCCACGAAACCCGUUGGAAAGGCAAGACUGGCUCUAGGGCCCCUCACGACAUCGCAGUCGAGGUCACCACCGUUUGAGGGACAAGUUUGAGGCUCCCUGAGGGGCCAGGCUUCCAGUAGUCCGCGGGCAGUCCGGGAGAGGUGGUUUGCCGAGACGGCCCCGGACGCGUGUCCCGUGGGCGCCUCAUGUGGCCUGCUCAGAAGCGGGCACUACGUUUAGGCAAGGUUCAAGGUCUGUUUUCUAAAGCUGUAAGUAUUGAGACUAAUGAAUUGACUAGUUCGGUAAUUUAAAUGGGUAUUUAUUUUUCAUGGAGGGAUUUUGAUUAAAAAGAAGCUAAUUGACAUGGAAAUGUCUGGAAUUUCUUACCUGCAAGGAAAGUGAACGUUUUGUAUUUAAGUGGACUAUACCGUGCACAUUUUUUAAAUAAAUAAAUCUGACAUUUGAGAA